rnacentral:rRNA from 1 species
UAACUCCACCAACAAAACUAUUCGCCAGAACACUACAAGCAAUAGCUUAAAACUCAAAGGACCUGGCGGUGCUUUAUAUCCGUCUAGAGGAGCCUGUUCUGUAAUCGAUAUACCCCGAUAGACCUUACCACCUCUUGCCCUCAGCCUGUAUACCGCCAUCUUCAGCAAACA